UGGGGAAUAUUGCACAAUGGGCGCAAGCCUGAUGCAGUCAUGCCGCGUGUAUGAAGAAGGCCUUCGGGUUGUAAAGUACUUUCAGUCGGGAGGAAGGUGGUAAGGUUAAUAACCUUAUCAAUUGACGUUACCCGCAGAAGAAGCACCGGCUAACUCCGUGCCAGCAGCCGCGGUAAUACGGAGGGUGCAAGCGUUAAUCGGAAUUACUGGGCGUAAAGCGCACGCAGGCGGUUUGUUAAGUCAGAUGUGAAAUCCCCGGGCUCAACCUGGGAACUGCAUCUGAUACUGGCAAGCUUGAGUCUCGUAGAGGGGGGUAGAAUUCCAGGUGUAGCGGUGAAAUGCGUAGAGAUCUGGAGGAAUACCGGUGGCGAAGGCGGCCCCCUGGACGAAGACUGACGCUCAGGUGCGAAAGCGUGGGGAGCGAACAGG
rnacentral:rRNA from 1 species